UCUUCCCUGGAACCUUUGCUUCUUCCACCCCCAGGGGCCUGGUCUCCCCCACAUCUCUGCGCCUUCACAUUUAGCAAAACCCAGUCUUAAGAAGGACUCUUAUCCAGCAAUUCAUAGGAAGGUAUAAUUUACUGAUAAGGCAUUUGCCUCUUACCAGAUAAAUAAGGAAACUAACUUGUGUUGAGUUCCCGAUGUGUGCUAGCUCUGCCACAGUGGGAGGUGACUGAUAAUUUCAAUGAAGAAGGUGAUUAGAGAGCUGGAGUUUCCUGUGCCUCGGCACCUGUGACUCAUAGAUGGUUGCUCCUUCUUCCUUCCUCCUUGUAAGGUGAGCCCCCCCUGCAGCUUCCUAGGGGUCACACGCUGAGGGUUUUAGAUGCCCGUCUGAGAUCUGUUAUCCUCUCUGGAGUUGUUGCUUUAUUUAUUUUUUCCUUUGAGUCUCUGGUUGAUUUUGCUCCCAACUUCCCAGAGGCAGAAGGAUCCUUUCUAAAGGGGGCUGUUGGCUUACACUCUGGGCUCAGGAGAGGGCCAGUUUCCGGUGAGUGCUGCCAUCUCGACAAAUGGUUUUUUGAUUCCAGUGUAUCCUUCUGGAUGCAGUCUCCAUGCACUGUCACUUCCUAUGCAUGACGUCGCCCUUCUGUGCACAGUGUGACAGCAAUGUAUCCCAGCCAAGAGAUCACAGUCGUUCCUGCCUUAUAGAGGCUUUGAAGAAUUCGAUGGAGUGAUACAGAUAAAGAACCUAGCACCGUGUCCAGCACGAAGCGAGCCCUUCCCCAAAGUUCUGUCCUUUCGUCAUCACUUUCCUUUUUGAACAGAGAGCUGAUAGCCUAGUUCCUCUCAGGCUAUUUCCAUGAAUUUUAACCUACCCAGUUUCCCCCCCACCCACCAGCCCCGAGCCUUCCCUUCUUCCUCCCUCAGUAGAGUUUCUAGCAAUGGUGGUGGCAACAGUAGCAACAGAAUCAAAAAAACGUCAUCAGCUGCACCUAGGAACCUGGACCUGUUUCCCUGCCCUUUGCUGUCCUGAGGAACUUAAUGAGCUUUCCGAGGUGGGGCCUCCUGCGCUGUUGAUGCUGACCCGGUUAUGAUGUCAGGAAGAAAGUCAAGCCAAAUGCAGGUGCCGGGGUCAUAAACACCUGCCUCGGAUGGCUCGUUAGGGCGACAAAGGGACUGCGAUUGAUUUUGAAAUCCUCAAGGUAAGUGGUUUAUCACCACAAAACUGAAUUAAAGAGAAACAUGGAUUUUGUAGCAUAAAACAGCCGUGACAUACACACCUGCAGAAAGAGAAGAAACGACUCUUCGUUUCAAAUGGUGGGUUGGGGCGAGGUCUGUGAAGUGAAUUUAAAAUAAAUGUCUAGUUUAGGAAAGGGCCCA
rnacentral:lncRNA from 1 species